GGCACCGAAAUUACAGUCGGAAUGGCCGUUGUAAAAAAGCAGAUCAAUGGCAUAGUUGAAAUGACCGUUGGACAAAAAAGCAGGAUAUCAAUUCUUUUAUAUAUGGGCUGUUUAUUUGAGAAUCGGGGCAGAUUGUGUUGUUCCUUCAUUUAUGUUUCUGUUUUUUUUGGCUUGAUUUCUAUUUUUUUUUUUUCUGGCGUGGCCAUGCCUGUUUUGCUUUUCUUGGUUUUGAAUUUUUACUUUGUAUUCUUUGGAGUGUCGUUUUUUAAUGGGUCAUGGAGGUAGGAGGAGCUAGAAUUCUCCAUUCUGUGGUAGGCAGUAGCCAGAAUUAUGCAUUCGGGAGUGGCUGAUUGGAGAUAUGGCCAGAAAAUAGCUAGUUUGCAUGGCUGUGUAUAUUGAUGCAGAUUGAGAGUGCAAGUAUCUUCCUCAGUUUUUCAUAUUUGUGGUUCGGAAAAUCCACUUUCAGUUAGAGCUAAGCUAGGGACAAAUGGAAUCAAAAGCUUACAGUCAGUGAACUUCGAAUCUUAUUAAAAUGAUCUGUUUUAACCUUGCCAAAUUUGUUUGAUUUGCCAAGUCAGUACUCAAAACUCAAAAGUACUAUAUAGAAAGUAACAGUUUGUUGGUGUUCGGAUUUUUCUAUAAGGUAAUGAGGUUUCAAUUUUUGGAAUAAGGAUAAAAACUGUGAAAUAGAAUCAAGGUUUUAGAUCAGUGAUUGUCUUUGGCUUGUGUGGUAUUUCCUCAAUUGCUCCAGGUGCGUUCUGUCCAACCGUUGUCUGCCUUAAUGUGAAAGGAAAACAUAAUGUUCAAACUUACAAUUGCUCCAGGAAUACAUUUUAGGGACAUAAAUUCCUUGGAUUUUGGGGAUAGCAGGGGUUCGUACAUACAUUUCCAUUAAUGGCUAUAUAAAGCUGAAAUUUGAAUAUUACGCAUUGAAGAAAAUAUUGCACUUUUGAAUCAGCUGUUGAAAUCAGUAUUUGUAAAUUGAUAUGUAAACAGAUUUGUUGUUUAAUACCAAAUUUUUAUUUGGGAGGGGUUAAUUGGCCCCCUUCCUAAGACUGGGGGAAUGGUCAUUGGUCAUGGCCAUUCUUUUCAGUCUAGUGUCAAUGCGUUAAUUUUUAUCUUAUUUUUUAUUGCAUAAAAGUCAAUUUGUAUU